CGGGGGCCCGCACAAGCAGCGGAGCAUGUGGCUUAAUUCGACGCAACGCGAAGAACCUUACCCACCUUUGACAUGUACGGAACCCUUUAGAGAUAGAGGGGUGCUCGAAAGAGAGCCGUAACACAGGUGCUGCAUGGCUGUCGUCAGCUCGUGUCGUGAGAUGUUGGGUUAAGUCCCGCAACGAGCGCAACCCUUAUCGUUAGUUGCUACCAUUAGGUUGAGCACUCUAGCGAGACUGCCCGGGUUAACCGGGAGGAAGGUGGGGAUGACGUCAAAUCAUCAUGCCCCUUAUGUCUAGGGCUACACACGUGCUACAAUGGUGAGGAUAAAGAGACGCAAGACCGCGAGGUGGAGCAAAUCUCACAAACCUCAUCCCAGUUCGGAUUGCAGGCUGAAACUCGCCUGCAUGAAGCCGGAGUUGCUAGUAAUCGCGAAUCAGCAUGUCGCGGUCGAAUACGUUCCCGGGCCUU
rnacentral:rRNA from 1 species